rnacentral:rRNA from 1 species
ACGGGAGGCAGCAGUCGGGAAUAUUGCGCAAUGGAGGAAACUCUGACGCAGUGACGCCGCGUAUAGGAAGAAGGUUUUCGGAUUGUAAACUAUUGUCGUUGGGGAAGAAACAAGACAGUACCCAAGGAGGAAGCCCCGGCUAACUAUGUGCCAGCAGCCGCGGUAAUACAUAGGGGGCAAGCGUUAUCCGGAAUUAUUGGGUGUAAAGGGUGCGUAGACGGGAGUGUAAGUUAGUUGUGAAAUCCCUCGGCUCAACUGAGGAACUGCAACUAAAACUAUACUUCUUGAGUAUCGGAGAGGAAAGUAGAAUUCCUAGUGUAGCGGUGAAAUGCGUAGAUAUUAGGAGGAAUACCAGUGGCGAAGGCGACUUUCUGGACGAAUACUGACGUUGAGGCACGAAAGUGUGGGGAGCAAACAGGAUUAGAUACCCUGGUA